UACGAAGGGGGCUAGCGUUGCUCGGAAUCACUGGGCGUAAAGCGCACGUAGGCGGACUCUUAAGUCGGUGGUGAAAUCCUGGAGCUCAACUCCAGAACUGCCUUCGAUACUGAGAGUCUCGAGUCCGGGAGAGGUGAGUGGAAUUCCCAGUGUAGCGGUGAAAUGCGUAGAUAUUGGGAGGAACACCAGUGGCGAAGGCGGCUCACUGGACCGGAACUGACGCUGAGGCGCGAAAGCGUGGGGAGCAAACAGG
rnacentral:rRNA from 1 species